rnacentral:ncRNA from 1 species
GCCCGAAAAUAGCAAACCCGUGCGAAAGCCGGGGACGCAAAGCCAUGGGCCUACAGCGGUGUUGUGCCGCUACGGUUGCCAGGUUGCCGAA